rnacentral:lncRNA from 1 species
GUCCUAACCCUAGUCUUAGCUCCAUCGUACAUGUCCUUGAUUACUCUGAUGUAGGCUUCCGACACGCUCUUCGCCUCCAAGCACCUCCAUAGCACCUCGCUUGGGACCUUGUCAUACCGCCUUUUUCAAGUCGAUAAGCACCAUGUGCAGGUACUUCUUCUUAUCCCUGAACUGUUCCACCAGCCGCCUGACAAGGUGGAUA